GCUUCCCUGGGCCUGCCAGACCUUCAGGCCUCUCUCCAACCCGAAGGCCUCUCUCUCUGGGGGAGAGGAGAUUGGCAUUGGAGGAGGACCAUGUGAUGACACAGUGAGAAGGCAGCCAUCUACAAGUCCAGGAGAGAGGCCUAAGAAGGAACAAUCUUGCUGACACCCUGAUCAUGGACUUUUGGACUCACAAUGGAGAGAAAAUAAAUUGCUGUUGUUUAAGCUA